rnacentral:rRNA from 1 species
UACGAACUGUGCGAACGUUAUUCGGAAUCACUGGGCUUACAGGGUGCGUAGGCGGCUUUUCAAGUCAGGGGUGAAAGCCCCCGGCUCAACCGGGGAAUUGCGCUUGAAACUGGAGAGCUCGAGUCAGCUAGAGGUGCACGGAACUUCCAGUGGAGCGGUGAAAUGUGUUGAUAUUGGAAGGAACACCGGAGGCGAAAGCGGUGCACUGGGGCUGGUCUGACGCUGAGGCACGAAAGCCAGGGUAGCGAACGGG